rnacentral:rRNA from 1 species
UGGGGAAUUUUGCGCAAUGGGCGAAAGCCUGACGCAGCGACGCCGCGUGGGUGAUGAAGGCCUUCGGGUUGUAAAGCCCUGUGGGGAGGGAAGAAUAAGGGGCGGCUAAUACCCGCACCGAUGACGGUACCUCCUUAGCAAGCACCGGCUAACUCUGUGCCAGCAGCCGCGGUAAGACAGAGGGUGCAAACGUUGUUCGGAAUUACUGGGCGUAAAGCGCGUGUAGGCGGUCUAGCAAGUCGGAUGUGAAAGCCCUUGGCUCAACUGAGGAAGUGCAUUCGAAACUGCGAGACUUGAGUCCCGGAGAGGAUGGUGGAAUUCUCGGUGUAGAGGUGAAAUUCGUAGAUAUCGAGAGGAACACCGGUGGCGAAGGCGGCCAUCUGGACGGUGACUGACGCUGAGACACGAAAGCAUGGGGAGCAAACA